rnacentral:rRNA from 1 species
AGCAGUAGCCGCGGUAAUACGUAGGGUGCGAGCGUUAAUCGGAAUUACUGGGCGUAAAGCGUGCGCAGGCGGUUCGUUAAGACAGAUGUGAAAUCCCCGGGCUUAACCUGGGAACUGCAUUUGUGUCUGGCGAGCUAGAGUAUGGCAGAGGGGGGUAGAAUUCCACGUGUAGCAGUGAAAUGCGUAGAGAUGUGGAGGAAUACCGAUGGCGAAGGCAGCCCCCUGGGCCAAUACUGACGCUCAUGCACGAAAGCGUGGGGAGCAAACAGGAUUAGAUACCCGCGUAGUCCCUGUCUCUUAUAC